rnacentral:rRNA from 1 species
UACGGAGGGUGCAAGCGUUAAUCGGAUUUACUGGGCGUAAAGCGUGCGUAGGCGGUUAUGUGUGUCAGAUGUGAAAGCCCAGGGCUUAACCUUGGAAUUGCAUCUGAAACUGCAUGACUAGAGUAUGGUAGAGGGAAGUGGAAUUCCGGGUGUAGCGGUGAAAUGCGUAGAUAUCCGGAGGAACACCGAUGGCGAAGGCAACUUCCUGGGCCAAUACUGACGCUGAGGUACGAAAGCGUGGGGAGCAAACAGG